UGCUGAGUUGCUUCUUGGCUGUCUCACAGA
rnacentral:piRNA from 1 species